GACGGAGGGUGCAAGCGUUGUUCGGAUUGACUGGGCGUAAAGGGCGUGUAGGCGGUCGGUCAAGUCUGGUGUGAAAGCCCGGGGCUCAGCUCCGGAAGUGCAUCGGAAACUAGCUGGCUGGAGCGCGAUAGAGGAGGGCGGAAUUCCUGGUGUAGCGGUGAAAUGCGUAGAUAUCGUCUGGAACGCCGAAGGUGAAAACAGCUCGCUGGGAUUGUGCUGACGCUGAGACACGAAAGCCAGGGGAGCGAACGGG
rnacentral:rRNA from 1 species